GCCGGUUUGGCUCAGUGGAUGGAGCGUCAGCCCUUGGACUGAAAGGUCACGGGUUCGAUUCCCGUCAAGGGCA
rfam:Myotis brandtii contig155372, whole genome shotgun sequence.